CCUAGCUGGCUAGUUAGCUAUCUGAGCUAUUCUCUUCCCUUUAAAUAAGCCCCCCCCUCCACCCCUUUUCCCUUCAUUGCCAAUGGGUGGAUCAUGGAUCUCCACACCCCUCCUUUUCUUCUUCUUUCCUUUUCUUUCAUUAGGGUUUCCGCUUUUUAUUCAAACCCAGUUAGCCGCCGCCGCAGCAGCAGCAGCAGCAUGUACAUAUGUAUAUAUAUAUACACAUGUAUGUUGGUGCUAGCUAGGGUUUCGUUGAGCUUUUUUUUCCUGUUCUUUCCUUAGCUUGCUAUAUGUAUGUAUAUAUAUAUAUGUGUGUGUAUGUAGACUAUAGUCAGCCAAAGGUCCAGCCUCGUAAGAGGUUGCUCCCUUCUGCAGCAGCAUCUCAUGGAUCUGAACAUAUAUCCAUCCACGGGGUGCCUGCAGGCUGCCUCACCAGUAGAUCUGGGAGAUAUAUGAGCAUUUCUUUUGAUUUUGAAUCAUUUUUAGCGUGUUGGUUUGACCUGAUUUUACAGGAUUUUCUGGAUUGGCUUUUAUGCUGCGGAUCUGUUACUUUUUUAGCUGAAUGAAUCAGCAUCUUAUUGUCUCUCGUUUUUUUUUUUUCUUUUCUUGUUAGAUCGAUCAUUGUUAAUCUGUUGAGGUCUGGAGGGAGGGAGGACUAGAUUCUUUGGCCUGAGAUGGUUUGUUUGUUUGUUUGUUUCUUUCUUUUAGCUGGGGUUGAAGGCGCAAGAUUAGAUCUAAAAUUACUGGUAUGUGUAUGUUUUGGGGGUGGGGGUGGGGGGUGAGAUUGAUUGAUUGGUUGGUAGGCAGGCAGGUAGAUAAAUGGAUAGGUAAAUAGGGGUAUGGGAGUGGAGCUCCUUGAAGUCCAAUAGAGGAACUUGCAGGGAAAAUGAAGCUGCUGAUAUAUGGAUCCCUCAGCCCUAUCCGCAUGCCACGCCCCGCCUCCCACCCAUGUUCAUGUUACAGUAGAUCGGGUUGGGUCGGAGUUACAGUGGCGGAUGGGUCUGUGGCUUGCAUACCUCAGGAGCUUCCAUUACCCUAAGGCUGGAUCCUUGUUUGGAUUGAAGGGAGCUCUACGCCUUUGAUUUGCCCUAUAUACAUAUAUAUAUAUAUAUUUAUACACCUGAUCUGUGUGUGUGUUUUGUUGCGUCAUAGGGGAUAUAUAUACAUAUACGCAGUAUUAUUGUUUUCUACAAGAAAAAGAGUUAUUCUUUGAAUGUGUGGUUUGUUGUUUUGUUGUCUGUAUACGUACAUGUGCCCAUAUAUAUAUAUGUAUGUAUAUGUAUUGCCCUUAGAUUCAUUCCGUUGCCCAUUUGGAUUUUCUGCGGAGGUCAUCCAUACCUAACUUUUCGGCGAAUCGGGUGCCCUCCCUCCCUCUCUCUCUCUCUCUCUCUCUCUGCAUGGAAACUGAUAAUAAAUCUCUUGAAUCUUUUGUUUAGAUCUACCUUGCCAUAUUUGGUUUUUAAACGGGUCAGUCAAAUGCGUUUGGGUCGGAUCGGAUGCGUUAGUAUUGCAGCAGUCUGGCACAAGAAAGAUGGGCGGAUAGGAUAGGAUAGGAUAGGAGAGGAUAGGAUAUUUGCCUAAUUAAGUUAUUUUUUGUUUGUUUUUCCACUUGUUGUCAUCAUCAUCAGAAGCUGAAUAGGUACUUGCGUAUUCCAACAAGAAAACAAAACCCUCCAUGGAUCGAUCCAUCCAUCUGUGGUUUCAUCCAAAGCCCUUCCUUGUAUAUAUUACUACUCUACUAAUAUGUAAUGCAAGUAUAUAUCUGUAUA